AUGGUCUCCAUAUCAAGGUCUUGUGUGCCCAGAGAGAGGAUUUCAUUUCAACCACCACCAUCACCACCAUCAUCAUCAUCACCAAGAGGGGUGCUGAGUGAGCGUCCGGGGAGGAGGAUUGAUAUUGGAAAAGUAGUUUCUAUCGAGCACCCAAAUGAAGAGAGAGCGCAGAACAAGAGGCAGGACUCACAAGUCCUUGACCUUCUCAUUAGACUCAUUAGCACCUACAGGACCCUGCAUCAGGAUUUCAUCUGCAUUAUCAGCUUCUUCAAAGAGAGAGAGGUUGUUGAAUUGAUAUUGGAAAAGCAGUUUCCCAUUGAGUCUCAAAUUAAGAGAGAGUGCAAAUGAAGAGGAGAAACUUGGCCACAAGCACAUCCCAACAAAAGUCCUGCUGCUGUUGCCCCAGCCACCCCCUGGGCUAUCCACAGCUCUGAACUUGCCAGUGUGUGGCCAUAACUGUUCUUUUUGAUCCCAGCACACUGGGCCCAGCCACACUUCUGGGAAUUCUGAAUCAGAUGAGGAAUGAGGCAGUGGGUGUGCUGGUAUGAUGAGACCAUGAGACAGGUGGGCAAAGACCACUGAGAAGUACCAUCACCAAGAUUUCCAAGAAAUAAAGAGAUACUGUUUGGCAUUAGUUAUACCAUCACAGAUAAAACGGUUUUUAAAAUAGUCAUGCACUGCUUAAUCAUGUUUCACUCAACAAUGGACCAUCUGGGAGGCCAGGGCAGGCAGAUCACUUGAGUCCAGGAGUUCAAGACCAGCCUGGGAGACAUAGCGAAAUCCAGUCUCCACAAAAAUUAUCCGGGAGUGGUGGCAUGUGCCUGUAGUCUAAGUUACUUGGGAGGUUGAGGUGGGAGGAUCAGUUGAGCCUAGGAAGCUGAGGCUAUGGUGAGGCGAGAUCACGCCACUGUAGUCCAGCCUGGGCAAUAGAGUGAGACCUUGUCUCAAAAAAAUAAACAAACAAACAAAUGGUAGACCACAAAUAUGACAGUGUCCAAUGAGAGUACAAUAAUGUACUGUAUUUUUGCUGUAUCUUUUCUAUAAAGACACAAAUACCACUAUGUUACAAUUCCUUAUGGUAUUCAGUACACUCACAUGCUGUGCAGAUUUGUAGCCUAAAAGCAAAAGCCUUAGUCACAAGCAUACCAUCUAGACCAGGUGUGUAGUUGGCUAUACCAUCUAGGUGUGUGUAGGGACACUCUAUGAUGAUCGCACAAUGACAAAAUCACAUUAAGCAUUUCUCAUAACAUAUCCCCAUCAUUAAGUGAUGUGUGACUGUACUAAUAAUAGCGAGUAUUAUUAAGACCAAUAGGUACCAGGUGGUACACUAGGCCCUUAUAGAUAUUAACUCACAACGACCCUAUGAGGUGCUCUUAUUAUUCUCAAGUUAUAGAUGAGGCAUCUGAGGCACAGAGAAGUUAAGCAACUUGCCCAAGGUUACACAGCUAGUAACAAACAAAAAAGAUGCUUACAAAAAAGCCACUGUGGCCACUGGGGCCGGAAUGUCAGAGGG
rnacentral:lncRNA from 1 species